rnacentral:ncRNA from 2 species
GGCCCCGGCCGCGACUGGCGAGGGUGGAAACGACCACCGGGGAGCGACCGGCAGUGCCCUGCAGCGCACCGCCCGCCUGGGUGCCUGGG